UCUCUUACCCGAUCGGGGUAAGAAAUGGGAACGGAGAUGGGGACUGCUGAUGUGACCUUGGCUGCUCCCUAAAGAGCUGCCAGUACCUCGCAGAGCUUGGCUCCCUCUCCCUGUGCAAGCAGAGAUGGGGCAUGAUCUACACAUCUAUUCCCACAUCCUCCACCCAUGCAUGGUGCUGGUGAAGGAGGAGAGGUUCACCAAGAGGGUACCAGCUCCCUUGCACUGCCAUGGAGACAUCUCCCAUCCUCCUUGACUCUCUGUCCCUAGCAGGAGGUCCUCCAGAUCUCACAACCCACCCUGUCUUCAGCUGCAUAUCCAGCCACCUCAUGAACAUAUGAUAUCGUGUGAUGGAUGUGGCAGAGACCGGCAUGUUUGGGCUUGGGCAAAGCACGAGUGACUGCUGCUAAGCUGCCACUAAAGGAAGUGUCUUCUGAAAGUGGUUUCCCUCAUCCAAGCAGGAUGCUGUCACCCCCCUGCACCAUCUCAGCGUGGGAGAGCGGACCCAGCGCUGUGCUGCUGGUGUAGCAGAGGAUGCACCACCACGGGAGGGCAUGGAAGGACCAAAGGAGCAAAUACCAUGCGUGGUUUGGGCUAUUCCUCCUCAUUUUUCUCCCCAUUGCCUUCUCAACAGCAGUUAGAUCGUUAAGUGCAGGAUUUUGUUGAAUGGUCACAGGGAACUUCAGCAGAGCCCUUCCCUGUGUUUUUUUUUUUUUUUUAUCUCCUAAACCACCAGGAUCCCAAUUUAUGUGUGACUUUUCCCGUAAUGCACUCCAGCAGAGUUACUUUGAUCUUGCCCAGUGGAAGGAUGGUCCACAGACCUCAAAAUCUGUUUGCUCAGGUGUGUGUCCAUUUUUUUUUUUCUCUUCUGUACAAACCCCUUCAUUUCUCAGGUUUUUUUUUUUUUUUUUUAAACAAGAAAGAUUAGUCAAGUGAAUUUCCACAACAGGUUUUAUUUGGCUCCAAGUUCAGCUUUAUUGUGGUGCUGCUGCUGAUCCUUGUAUUUUCCUUCUACAGAGUGGUUGUGACAGGUUGGAGCACCUAAUUUGUGCAAGCAGACAGCCCAGAAAAUAAGGAAAAUGCAACAGCUGGAGAAAUCCAGCUCUGAAGGCUGGAAUGGUUUCCUCGUGCAGAUUUCCCCAAAUCACAGCUAAGAAGGGGCAUGGCUUGCUGAGAAAAUGUGUGCCCUGUAAAAUAAAAGGAUUAGGAAACCACUUUAUAGCUUGUGAGAUUUAUGGUUUCAGAACAAAUGGCUGUAGUUCACUUGGCCUGCAGCUCUAAAAGAGGCCAAAACAAACUGCUUUAAAGCUUUGGUUCAAAAGGAAGGCUCAGAUCACCCCUCACGUGGGUCUUUGUAAAUGAAGGGGAUACUGGAAAGAGUCUUGUGUGUCCUGCAGCACCUCUAAGCUACCACUUUAUGUUGCCUGAAUGUGGUAAUAUUGAAAGGUAAAUUUAUUCCAAAUGUCCUAACACAGUGGAAAUGACAACCUGGAAACACAAUGUUUUUAAACUAUACAUUACGGGAAGAAUUGCAGUGGAAAAGUGUGAUGUGACCUUUUUUCCUGUCUCUUGGAGAAAUACAAGCACAAGGCAUGGCAUCGCCUCGCUCUGUUGAAGAGAAGAAUGGAAGUUGUUUUGGGAUUAGCAGCGCCAAAGAAGCUUCAUCUCAGCUUGAUUUGUGUUUCCAAGGGGAGCUUGCUGGUGUGGAUUCUCUGAUGCCUGAUAAAGGGGUAUUGGAACUAACCAGGACCAAGGCAUGGACUCAUCUACUGUCCUGAAAUAAUCCAGGUUGUGUAGCUGUGCCUGUUCACCAGUGUGGUUUUGGUCACAAUCUCCAACAAUUUCCAGGGAGAGCACAGCCCUUGGUUCUCUCUCAGCGGGCAGCAUGGUUGAUGCCACUGUGUCUUGCAUUGUGUUUAAUCCACUGUCUGUGACUAUAGAAUAAAUCCCAAGUAAGGACUACACGCUUUGCCAAAGAUAAGCCAGAUUUUCACUGCAGCUGCCAAAGCUGAAUAGUGGCUGGUUUGUGUCCAGUGAAGAACAGACUUGGACUAAAUGGAACAGCUGCACAAAGAUGUUCAACAUAAUAGAUGUCUCUGCUGGCUUCACAGUGCGCUGGAUGAGCCGCUUGCCCUGGAGGACUGGAGACACCAAGGUGGAAAUCAAGCUGUGACAAAACCCGCUUGUGACUUCAGCUCCCAGGGGUUUUGCUUCUGAUUAAUAAUAUCCUUUGUAUAACACAAAGGUAACAGCCAGCUGAGAAAGCUCUCACAAUCUCCCCUUUCUCAAGUAUCAGAAUGGGAAUAAGACACUCGCUGUCAUCCAUCAUUGCUGCUAGUUCAGAGCACUUGUUGCCUACUCUGACGUUUUGAUUCUCAUCCCCUUCCCAUCUCCCUGGUGGUCUCUUUGCUUGUUUCCAGCAAGUUUGCUCUCCUUCAAUCUCAUACGCACCCACGAGUUCUGCGGACUAAGGGCAGUGACAACUUGAAAGCACCCCGUGGCCAGCAUGAAGGGCUGUGGGAUGUCAUGUAGAGCUCAGGAUGUCUGAGCAA